rnacentral:rRNA from 1 species
UAAGCAUAUCAAUAAGCGGAGGAAAAGAAACCAACCGGGGAUUGCCCCAGUAACGGCGAGUGAAGCGGCAAGAGCUCAAAUUUGAAAUCUGGCCCCUCCGGGGUCCGAGUUGUAAUUUGCAGAGGAUGCUUCGGGUGCGGCCCCUGUCUAAGUGCCCUGGAACGGGCCGUCAGAGAGGGUGAGAAUCCCGUCUUGGGCAGGGUGCCCGUGCCCGUGUGAAGCUCCUUCGACGAGUCGAGUUGUUUGGGAAUGCAGCUCUAAAUGGGUGGUAAAUUUCAUCUAAAGCUAAAUACCGGCCGGAGACCGAUAGCGCACAAGUAGAGUGAUCGAAAGAUGAAAAGCACUUUGAAAAGAGAGUUAAACAGCACGUGAAAUUGUUGAAAGGGAAGCGCUUGCGACCAGACUCGGCCUCGGGGUUCAGCCAGCAUUCGUGCUGGUGUACUUCCCCGGGGCCGGGCCAGCGUCGGUUCGGGCGGCCGGUCAAAGGCCCCAGGAAUGUAUCGUCCUCCGGGACGUCUUAUAGCCUGGGGUGCAAUGCGGCCAGCCUGGACCGAGGAACGCGCUUCGGCACGGACGCUGGCGUAAUGGUUGCAAACGACCCGUCUUGAAACACGGACCAAGGAGUCUAACAUCUACGCGAGUGUUCGGGUGUCAAACCCGUACGCGCAGUGAAAGCGAACGGAGGUGGGAGCCCCUUUGGGGCGCACCAUCGACCGAUCCUGAUGUCUUCGGAUGGAUUUGAGUACGAGCGUAGCUGUGGGGACCCGAAAGAUGGUGAACUAUGCCUGAAUAGGGCGAAAGCCAGAGGAAACUCUGNUGGAGGCUCCUAGCGGUNCU